AGAACGACUCUCGGCAACGGAUAUCUCGGCUCUCGCAUCGAUGAAGAACGUAACAAAAUGCGAUACUUGGUGUGAAUUGCAGAAUCCCGUGAACCAUCGAGUUUUUGAACGCAAGUUGCGCCCGAKGCCAAUAGGUUGAGGGCACGUCUGCCUGGGCGUCUCGC
rnacentral:rRNA from 1 species